GAUGAACGCUGGCGGCGUGCUUAACACAUGCAAGUCGAACGAGAAGUGAAGACGGAAACCUUCGGGCGGAAGGCUUUAUUUCGAGUGGCGGACGGGUGAGUAACGCGUGGGUAACCUGCCUCAUACAGGGGGAUAACAGUUGGAAACGACUGUUAAUACCGCAUAAGACCACAGCACCGCAUGGUGCGGGGGUAAAAACUCCGGUGGUAUGAGAUGGACCCGCGUUCGAUUAGCCAGUUGGCGGGGUAACGGCCCACCAAAGCGACGAUCGAUAGCCGAUCUGAGAGGAUGACCGGCCACAUUGGGACUGAGACACGGCCCAAACUCCUACGGGAGGCAGCAAUGGGGAAUAUUGCACAAUGGGGGAAACCCUGAUGCAGCGACGCCGCGUGAGUGAAGAAGUAUUUCGGUAUGUAAAGCUCUAUCAGCAGGGAAGAAAAUGACGGUACCUGAGGAAGAAGCCCCGGCUAACUACGUG
rnacentral:rRNA from 1 species